UACGUAGGGUGCGAGCGUUAAUCGGAAUUACUGGGCGUAAAGAGCGCGCAGGCGGUCGAUCAAGUCGAGUGUGAAAGCCCCCCGGCUCAACUGGGGAGGGUCACGCGAUACUGAUCGACUCGAAGGCAGGAGAGGGUAGUGGAAUUCCCGGUGUAGUGGUGGAAUGCGUAGAUAUCGGGAGGAACACCAGCGGCGAAGGCGGCAUCCUGGACUGGUCCUGACACUCAGGAGCGAAAAGCGUGGGGAGCGAUCCGG
rnacentral:rRNA from 1 species